rnacentral:lncRNA from 1 species
UCUGAAUAGACUGAAUCUUCUCUGAACCAGGAAUUACAAUUGAAAAAGUCAAAUAACAUUUCAUAAUUGCAAAGAAAAUAAUUGCAGUUUCAGCUCCAGACGUACCUGUGAGGUUCUGCCAGGAAGUGGAGCACCAAGACACUUGGGAUAAACCCCAACCUGAAAAUCAAGAGGAUGCAUUUUCUGUGCUGCGGCCUUUACAAGACAGAGCACCACACAACACAUACUCUGUCCAAGAUCCAAAGCCAUCAGCAGAUCAAAGAAAAAUGCAGACACCAGUUUUUCCAAUAAGCAUGUCCCAUGUAAAUGAGCAAGAAGAUGCUUGGGGGGACCACCCAUCGAGCUAUCGAGAAGACACAACUUCUGAGCUGAGACCCUCAAGUACCCAGGCAAGAGCGAAGAAUGCUUCUGGUAUCAGCCGAUGGAGCUGCAUCUCCAGUCAAUGCACACCUGUGGAGAGGGCAAUUUUGGAGAAGCUUAAUGAGCUGGACUUGAAGAUUACCCAUCUAACUUCAGUGGUCUAGUCCCUUGCCCCUCGGUCAAGUGGUCAAAUGGUGGUGGACACUGAGGAUGACACCUUUCCUAUUGAAACAAUGGAGGACCUUGAACAACUGGAAUGGCAAUUAGCUGAAAAACCAAUGAUGGAGAAGAUGAUGAAGAGGUUAUCCAUCAGAGGAGGACAAACUCUGAAAAAAACCAUUUGGCGUGUAGCCUCCAAAGUGUUUGGUCCAGUGGCCAAACAGCUCAACUGGUGUGGAAGAGGAGAUAAAAGAGGCCUAAAAAACACAAAUAUUGGGACACUUGUGAUAGGUGCAGCUAUGAGGAACCCCGUGCUUCCGUCUCCAACAGAGGCAGAAGCAGAAAAAUAUUUGAAAGACUUUCUCCGCUUGGCCCCAGGAAGAAUGGCCUCUUAAGCCAGUUGCUAUUUUUUAUUUAUUUAUUUGCUGCUAUUUGGUUUUGUUUGCUUCAAAAAAUA